UACAGAGGUCCCGAGCGUUGUUCGGAUUCACUGGGCGUAAAGCGUCUGUAGGUGGCUUUUUAAGUCCGCCGUCAAAUCCCAGGGCUCAACUCUGGACAGGCGGUGGAAACUACCGAGCUGGAGUACGGUAGGGGCAGAGGGAAUUUCCGGUGGAGCGGUGAAAUGCGUAGAGAUCGGAAAGAACACCAACGGCGAAAGCACUCUGCUGGGCCGACACUGACACUGAGAGACGAAAGCUAGGGGAGCGAAUGGG
rnacentral:rRNA from 1 species